AUUCUGAGUCAGAAAAUGAGGAGGCUGCGGCGAGUGGCGCUGGACCCCUUCGGGGCUCGGGUGCCGGGGAGGAGGGGCGUGGGACACCGGGGGACCUUGUGGAGGAACUUGGCAGGGCGAUGGAUGUGCUGGAGGCGCAGGCGGGGAUGCGGGGACGCGCCUUGGAGCGGCUGGGCGAAACCCCGCCCCCUGUGGCGCAGCCAAAUUGGAACUUGAUUGCGAAAGACUGUGUGCUAAGUGGCGUAACCCUAGAAGCUGUACCUGCGGCCGCGCCUCCACAGGCGUUCCCUGUUCAGGUUGGGCCACCAGGAGGAGCUAUGUGGACGCCCCUAGACGCUAAGUUGGUUCAGGCCCUUCACAAGGCAAUAAAAGAGGAAGGUUUGUCGAGCGAAACCACACCUAUGCUGCUCGACUCCGCCCACGUCCAGCCACUAGCCCCUGCCGACGCUAGGCAGCUGGCAAGGGCGGUACUAACUGGCCUGCUAUUCCUUCUUUUGAAGGAGGCAUGGUAUCUCGAACUGCAAGGCCGCAUACAAGCUGCAACGACAGAUCCCACCCAUCCCCUCCGACAGUCCACUUUUGAUAGGUCACCGGGGCGGGAGGGGAUACUAACAUUCUUGUAAGCUCGCAGCCAAUGAUGUUUAUAAUAGAUGAUGAAGAGCAGGGAAAACAGUUGGUUGCCACAGUGACUCCUGUUAUUGCUAGGAUAGAACAAGCCCUGUUAGGCCGAGAUGCACUCCGUCAAAUGGGAAUUACUAUGAAGGAUUUUUAGGGGGGGCCACUGCUCAACCUGACCCACAACAAGAUAGAAUUACUUGGCUGACGAAUGAUCCGGUUUGGGUGGAACAGUGGCCCCUCACUCAAGAAAAAUUACAAGCAGCCAAGGAAAUUGUGAAGGUAGAAGCUCAAAGUGGUCAUCUUGAGCCUUCUACUAGUCCAUGGAACACCCCGAUAUUCGUAAUUCGAAAGAAAAACAAAAACAAAUGGAGAUUACUCCAUGACCUGAGAGCUGUGAAUGCGCAGAUGGAAGCGAUGGGACCUUUGCAAACUGGUCUGCCGCUUGUUUCUGCUAUCCCACAGGAUUGGUAUAUCAUAAUAAUUGAUAUUCGAGAUUGUUUUUUCAGCAUCCCUCUUGCCCUGGAAGACCGGAAAAGGUUUGCCUUUACCCUACCUGCAAUCAAUUUGGAGGAGCCAGCAACACGCUGGCAAUGGACAGUCCUGCCACAAGGACUGGAUUGUCGGACACCCUCGCAACCGGUACGUCUCAGUGACGAAUGAAGAUGACAAGGAAGAGGAUCAGACCUGAUGCUUCUACAGCAAGGGGGAGUGUGCACUGCACUAGAGGAAGAGUGUUGUGUAUAUGCAGACCACACCAGAAUAGUAAAAGACACUAUGACCAAAUUGCAGAAAGGUCUGGAAAAAAACGAAGGAGGGAACGAGAGGCACAGCAAAGUUGGUUUACGUCAUGGUUCAACCAUUCACCAUGGCUGACCACCCUGAUAUCUACCUAAUGGGACCAAUCACAACGAUUGUAAUAGCAGUGAUUUUGGGA